rnacentral:lncRNA from 1 species
UUUGCAAUACAAAGAUUGUAAUUUAGACUAGUCCCAUAUGCAUGAGACUAGUAUAAGACCAUGAGUCACUGCCCGCCUGUGACCAACUAAUGGGUUUGGCGGUGCACAUGAACAAGCCAGCCCUGGAAUAUCCACCUACAUUUAACUAACUAAUUAAGCGUGCACAUGAACAAUCUAUUUUUUUUUCUCAAAUAUGCACGAGUAUAUGCAUAUCAUAUAUUGAUAGAAGAAAGGCGAAGAACGCCUCCACCACAUGAACAAUCCAAUCAUAUAGCAGCACUCAGCCAAAAAAUAAAUAAAUCAAGAAUCAAUCAUAUGCUGGCUGGACAUGCAUCUACCAACAAGCAAUCCCUCCGCCUGACUCCAAUCCAAAGACCCCGUGGGAUUUGGACUUGUGCCGGUUAGUUGACGCGACGCGCGCCUCCAAGAUUUGCACCGCACGGGCUGCCCUCCGUUGGCGCAUCCAGCCAGGCUAGGAAUGAAUGGGAUUGCGCUCGGAGAGGGCGAGGGCGAGUGCGAGUGCGACGGAGAGCAGACACCAGACAGCUCGCCGAUGGCUGGUUGGUUGGUUCGUCUGGUCCGAUCCGUUUCCCCAUGUGACCGCCGGCGAGGAGAGGGUUCCAAAAUCCGGCGCUUUCCCUCGCCCGGCCCCGGCGUUUUUGGAGGAUGCGGAAGCCUCUCGCUCAGGCCAGGGGUGCGCACGCCUGGCGAUUUGGCCCGGCGUCGUCGUCUCCAUCGCGGCCGGGAUGGUUGCUAGCACCAACAAUGCCUUUUGCCCUACGGCUCCGGGUCGGGGUCGAGGGUUUUGGGUUUAUCUGUGACUGCGAGUAGGCCUUAGGUUGGUUGCUGUAUUGUCGUCGGUCGUCAUGUUUGGUGGCCACGGAUGGAUGGAUUGCCCGAGCCGCACGCAAGUUUAAGGCUGGCUUGGUCGAUUCGCCGCUCACGGGAUAAUCAUGGCAUUCCGUUAUUCUACCAGUACUAGUAUAUGGUCUACGCACGCGGAGAAUCAUCGGGCACUGUAUGCAUGAAUAUACACGAAUGGAGAUAGAUAGAUAGAUAGAUAGAUAGAUACACCGUAGCAGGGAUUGAAUACUGGACACACGGCGCACGGGACGUCCAAGCCGGCUGCUUUCCUUUGACAGCCUCCCGUUUAAUUUGGUCGACUGGCUCUCUCACUCGGCUACGUCGCCGUCGUCCGUCGGCAUCCAUACAGCAACGGAACGGCACAUCGGCGCCCGGACGCGUCAUGCCGGUGCACCAGCCGAGCACCAAGCCACGAG